CACUCAAAAACAGAGAAACGUUUAAGGUAUUUAUUAAUAAUGCAGAAAGUACGUAGAGCGAGGAGACCCGGCGGGCCGUCAAACUGAAAAGGAAAACGAGAGGAGGUGAGUUCAGGUAGCGGAAACAACUGUCAGUAAGAUGAUCCAGGAGGAGGGCGGACAAGGUUCGAUUUACCGGACAGAUGGAUUACCAGAGCGGCAGCCAACUGGGGAAUAUAUCCAGAGUCCAAAUUACAAUCUAGGGUUUCUUCAGAAGAUCUCCAGCAAGGAGCGAGGAGGUCAUGUCAGAAUUUGAAUCGGGUGUUCUGGAGCAGACAAACAUCUAAAACCUGCAGGGAAGGGGUCCCUGAGGACCAGGGCUGUGAACCAUUGAGGAUGGCCAUUAACUGAAUGCAGUUUAAACCACAGAGUGACGUUGGCCUGAUUCAUUCCUGAAGUGUGCGCUGAGUUUCCAAACAUGUCUUUAGAAACAGACCACCUCUCCCUGGGAGAUGUCCCCAAAACCUUCAGCCUUCUAACCUGAGACCACAACAUGUCAAGAUUGACAACAACAAAAUCUCCUCAACCCUGUGUUAGGACUUGUGAGAUAGAGGACCCCAGAAUGCAGACUAGAAUGCACCAUGUCGGCCAUUCUCUGUGAACGUCAAGAUGGUGAUGGAUAGAAAAAACCUCGUACUUGUACUCAUCGUCUUCCGCUUUAUCCAGGACCGGGCCGCGGGGGCAGCAGACUCAGCAGAGACGCCCAGACAUCCCUCUCCCCAGACACCUCCUCCAGCUCCUCCGGAUGGAGCC